AUCGAACGCUGGCGGCAGGCCUAACACAUGCAAGUCGAGCGAGCGGCGGACGGGUGAGUCAUGCCUGGGAAUUGCCCAGUCGAGGGGGAUAACAGUUGGAAACGACUGCUAAUACCGCAUACGAUUGUAUCGCCUCGGUGGGAGUAGCUAGUGGGUGAGGUAAUGGCUCACCAAGGCGACGGUCCCUACCUGGUCUGAGAGGAUGAUCAGCCACACUGGAACGGGGACACGGUCCAGAAUCCUACGGGGGGCAGCAGUGGGGAAUAUUGCACAAUGGGGGAAACCCUGAUGCGGCAAUGCCGCGUGUGUGAAGAAGGCCUUCGGGUUGUAAAGCACUUUCAGCGAGGAGACGUUACUCGCAGAAGAAGCACCGGCUAACUCCGUGCCAGCAGCCGCGGUAAUUC
rnacentral:rRNA from 1 species